rnacentral:rRNA from 1 species
UUGACGGGACCCGCACAAGCGGUGGAUGAUGUGGAUUAAUUCGAUGCAACGCGAAAACCUUACCCACCUUUGACAUGGCAGGAAUCCCGAAGAGAUUUGGGAGUGCUCGAAAGAGAACCUGCACACAGGUGCUGCAUGGCUGUCGUCAGCUCGUGUCGUGAGAUGUUGGGUUAAGUCCCGCAACGAGCGCAACCCUUGCCAUUAGUUGCUACGAAAGGGCACUCUAAUGGGACUGCCGGUGACAAACCGGAGGAAGGUGGGGAUGACGUCAAGUCCUCAUGGCCCUUAUAGGUGGGGCUACACACGUCAUACAAUGGCCGGUACAGAGGGUAGCCAACCCGCGAGGGGGAGCCAAUCCCACAAAGCCGGUCGUAGUCCGGAUCGCAGUCUGCAACUCGACUGCGUGAAGUCGGAAUCGCUAGUAAUCGCGGAUCAGCAUGUCGCGGUGAAUACGUUCCCGGGUCUU